rnacentral:rRNA from 1 species
UACGUAGGGGGCGAGCGUUGUCCGGAUUUAUUGGGCGUAAAGAGCUCGUAGGCGGUUUGUCAAGUCGGGUGUGAAAACUCCGGGCUCAACUCAGAGACGCCACUCGAUACUGCUAUGACUCGAGUCCGGUAGGGGAGUGCGGAAUUCCUGGUGUAGCGGUGAAAUGCGCAGAUAUCAGGAGGAACACCAGUGGCGAAGGCGGCACUCUGGGCCGGUCCUGACGCUGAGGAGCGAAAGCGUGGGGAGCGAACAGG